rnacentral:rRNA from 1 species
CGUCGAGUGGCGGACGGGUGAGUAAUACUUAGGAAUCUGCCCAUUAGUGGGGGACAACUAGAAGAAAUUCUAGCUAAUACCGCAUACGCCCUACGGGGGAAAGCGGGGGAUCUUCGGACCUCGCGCUAAUGGAUGAGCCUAAGUCGGAUUAGCUUGUUGGUGAGGUAAAGGCUCACCAAGGCGACGAUCCGUAGCUGGUCUGAGAGGACGACCAGCCACACUGGGACUGAGACACGGCCCAG